GCUGCUGUAGCUCAGCGGUAGAGCACUCCCUUGGUAAGGGAGAGGUCGAGAGUUCAAGUCUCUCCAGCAGCA
rfam:Thioclava atlantica strain 13D2W-2 contig4, whole genome shotgun sequence.